rnacentral:rRNA from 1 species
UACAGAGGUGGCAAGCGUUGUUCGGAAUUACUGGGCGUAAAGGCGCGUAGGCGGCCUUCUAAGUCAGACGUGAAAUCCCCCGGCUUAACCUGGGAACUGCGUCUGAUACUGGAGGGCUUGAGUGCGGGAGAGGGAUGUGGAAUUCCAGGUGUAGCGGUGAAAUGCGCAGAUAUCAGGAGGAACACCGAUGGCGAAGGCAGCUCGCUGGGACGGUACUGACGCUGAGGCGCGAAAGCGUGGGGAGCGAACAGG